rnacentral:rRNA from 1 species
AUGCUUAACACAUGCAAGUCGAACGGAAACAUGUCUAGCUUGCUAGAUGAUGUCGAGUGGCGGACGGGUGAGUAAUGCUUGGGAACUUGCCUUUGCGAGGGGGAUAACAGUUGGAAACGACUGCUAAUACCGCAUAAUGUCUUCGGACCAAACAGGGCUUCGGCUCUGGCGCGAAGAGAGGCCCAAGUGAGAUUAGCUAGUUGGUGAGGUAAAGGCUCACCAAGGCAACGAUCUCUAGCUGUUCUGAGAGGAAGAUCAGCCACACUGGGACUGAGACACGGCCCAGACUCCUACGGGAGGCAGCAGUGGGGAAUAUUGCACAAUGGGGGAAACCCUGAUGCAGCCAUGCCGCGUGUGUGAAGAAGGCCUUCGGGUUGUAAAGCACUUUCAGUUGUGAGGAAAAGUUAGUAGUUAAUACCUGCUAGCCGUGACGUUAACAACAGAAGAAGCACCGGCUAACUCCGUGCCAGCAGCCGCGGUAAUACGGAGGGUGCGAGCGUUAAUCGGAAUUACUGGGCGUAAAGCGCACGCAGGCGGUUUGUUAAGCUAGAUGCGAAAGCCCCGGGCUCAACCUGGGACGGUCAUUUAGAACUGGCAGACUAGAGUCUUGGAGAGGGGAGUGGAAUUCCAGGUGUAGCGGUGAAAUGCGUAGAUAUCUGAAGGAACACCAGUGG